UUUUAUUUUAAUUAAACAAUAAUCAAAAGCCAUGGACUAUGAUGCAUUUAUCUGCUCGUUUCAACUAUGGCUAUUAUGCUAUAUCCGUCUUUGUUUUAUUGCAUUCCACAAAUGAACAAUUUCAUAGAAUUUCAUUGUCAAUCAAUUUAAUCUCCUUGUGUGUCUCCAGUGACUCUGUUAACCCAUCAUUUACAAUUUAUAACAUGAAAAAGGCAAUUUUCUCAGGAAGGACAAAGUAAAAGAGAAAACGAGGAUGUGGACAGGAAAAGGGAUGUGUGGAGAACUUCACGAGGAGUGGGCAGUUGAGGGACCCAGGCUGUGGGCAGCCCCGUCCCUCCCUCUGCUGCUUGGUACAGAGAUGGCCUCUCCCUCGGGUCCCUCAGACACCUGGAGGACAGAGGCUUAUCCGGACAAGCGCCCUGCCUGCCUUCCCAGAGAAAUGACACUUUGUGAAAAUUCCAGCAGGCCACCUCAUUGCUGCCGGGAGGUCACCUGGGCCAUGGUGACUUGACAAGGACCCACAGUGCCCUCGCCUCUCAUUUCUUCCCAGGCAUCGAAGUUGCCCUGCAAGGGGCAUCCGAGAAGGCCCAGAGGUGCCCCUGCCGGCCUGCCACAGUCACCAGGUGCUUCAGGUGCCAGAGAAGGCAGAGCCUGAGAGCAGGUGGUCAAGGUGGUGGGGACUGUAGGAGAAGGGUGCUGGGCUGUGGGCUGCUCAGUGCACCUGAGUGACCUGGAGGGACCUCCGAUGGCCGUGGAGGGGAGCGGGAGGGAAGACCCUGCGUGCUCCACCGCCCUCAUACUUCUUGGACCUCCGUGUGGCCGGCCUCAGAGCUGCUCGCGGAUCCACCCUCAGGUCACGCCGCCGAAUGUCUGAGCUUGAGCCCAGCGCGCCUCAGCAUUUGCCAAGGUUAAUGAAAGGAAGUGAUAACUCAGCAUUUAUUUCCUCCUCCUGGAUUUCGUAGCUGUAGACCUCACCCUACGUCAAAUUCCUCUUUCAAAGCUUUGGCUCCCCUGAAGACAGCCGGCCUCCAGGAGCAGAUCAGCCCGCCCACCGUGGGGUCUGCAGGGGAAACAGAUGAGCCUGGCUCUGCGGACAGCCAGAGACCACGUGGUCCAUCCUGGAAGCAUCCUCCUGCUUGAACGGUGAUAACAGGCUACUUCCACAGAAAGAAGGAGAGGGAAAGUGAGGAGCACAGUUGGAUGCUGGCGGCAGUGCGGGCUCCGGGCGCCCUCUGUGCUCGCCGCUGCUCCACCCUCCACACCGCGAAACAGUCGUCCACCGAGGCAGAGCGCUCGCACGUGUGAGGAUGUGGGUGGAUGUGACUCCCCACAAGGGAUUUUGCAACUUAUUGAAGUCAUUGUUUCCAGAAUAAACCAUGUGUCAUUCUUUCCCUUAGUAA